rnacentral:rRNA from 1 species
AUGCAGAAGCACCUCUCCUUCGGGUUCGUCACGUUCCUGGAGCGCGAGGACACCGCCACCGUCAUGGACAACAUGGAGGGCGCCGAGCUCUUCGGCCGCGUCCUCACCGAGAACUACACCUUCCCCGAGAAAAUCAAUGGAGGGGAGCAGGGAUGGGCCGCGCAGCCAAAGCAUGGAAGCCAGGCCUUAGGAGCAACAGAGCAAGGGCCGAUGGGCAGCGCGAGGACCUCGACAGUGUAG